GGAAGCGUGCCUGAAACAUAAGGACUACUUUGAUAAAGCAGACAUGGAGCCGAUAAACUCCCACUUCC
rnacentral:tRNA from 1 species